rnacentral:rRNA from 1 species
UACGUAGGGUGCAAGCGUUGUCCGGAAUUAUUGGGCGUAAAGAGCUCGUAGGCGGUCUGUCGCGUCGGAUGUGAAAAUCCAGGGCUCAACCCUGGACCUGCAUUCGAUACGGGCAGACUAGAGUUCGGUAGGGGAGACUGGAAUUCCUGGUGUAGCGGUGAAAUGCGCAGAUAUCAGGAGGAACACCGAUGGCGAAGGCAGGUCUCUGGGCUGUAACUGACGCUGAGGAGCGAAAGCAUGGGGAGCGAACAGG